CAAAAUAAGCAGCGAUGUUAAUUUUUGGCAGAUACUGCAAAUGACCACUGAUAAGAGGGUCAGGCUGACACGGCUGAACACACGCUGAUGAAACAGCUGUUCCCGUCACUGCACAUUCCUCUCGUGGCGCUCCUGCCAGCGCGGCUCUACAAGUUGCCCCCCCUCUCCCCCGCCUGUGAUCUUGUCCCUCAGACUCAGCAAGCCCCUGACGUGUAUUUACUCCCAGGACCAUUAGGACACCCUGGUCUCUCUCAGGUUCAUCAAAACAAUUACUUCCACCACACUUACUGGCAAUUAUAGGCUAGUCAGUCUUACCUUGGUCCUUGGGAAGACCUUUGAGAAAAUUAUCAAAGAGCACAUCUGCAAGGGCCCAGCAUGGGAGCUAUUGCUCAGGGGCAACCAACAUGGGUUCAUUGCGGGCAGGUCCUGCCUGACUAACCUGGUUUCUUUUUAUGAUCGGGUCACAAAGUCCCCGGAAGAGGGUGUCAGGGUGGAUGUCAUCUUCCUGGGCUUUAAGGCCUUUGACACUGUUUCCCACCACAUUCUCCUAAAAAAAAACAAACUUGGUGACGGUGGCAUUGAUGCCUACGUAGUCAGAUGGUCACACCCAGAGAGUGGUGGUGGACGGGUCAUCUUCCACCUGGAGAGAUGUGGGCAGUGGGGUCCCCCAGGGCUCGGUCCUGGGGCCUGCACUGUUCAACAUCCUCAUCAGUGAUCUGGAUGUGGGGGUAGAAAGCACGCGGUCCAAAUUCACUGACGACACCAAGAUGUGGGGCGAGGUGGGCACGCUGGAGGUGGGGGGACAGAAUCCAGCUAGAUCUAGACAGGUUGCAGAGGUGGGCGGAUGAGAAUAGGAUGGAGUUCAAUGCAGACAGGUGCAAGGUGCUGCAUCUAGGGAGGAGGAACCAGCAACACUCCUAUAGGCUGAGGAACACCCGUCUUGUCAACACGGUGCCAGAAAGGGAUCUUGGAGUCAUUGUUGACUCCAGGAUGGACAUGAACCUCCAAUGCAAGGAAGCCGUCAUUAAGGCUAGCUGCACCUUGUCAUGCAUCCACAGAUGCAUCUCGAGCAGGGCCAAGGAGGUGAUCCUCCCCCUCUAUGCGACACUGGUCAGGCCACAGCUGGAGUACUGCGUCCAGUUCUGGGCGCCGCACUUCAGGAGGGAUGUGCCCAGCAUCGAGAAGGUCCAGAGGGGGCCACCCCCAUGGUGGGGGGCAGCAGGGCAGGCCCUACGAGGAGAGGCUACAGGACCUGAACCUGUUCAGCCUCCACAAGAGAAGGCUGAGGGGGGACCUGGUGGCCAUUUACAAACUCAUGAGGGGAGACCAGCGAGAACUGGGGGAGCUCUGCGGCACCACCAGGGUUACAAGGAAUAAUGGCCACAAAUUGUUAGGAGAAGGUUCAGGCUGGACAUCAGGAGAUAUUACUUCACAGCGAGGGCUGCCAGGCUCUGGCCUGGGCUCCCAAGGGAGGUGGUGCUCUCCCCUACCUUGGGGGAGGCUGGACAGAUAUUUGGCUGGGGUGAUAUGAUCCUGGCACCCAUUCCUGCCCAGGGCAGGGGGUCGGACCUGAUGAUCCAUUUCGGUCCCUUCUGGCCCUAAGUACUAAGAUCCUAGGAAGACCAACACACCAUCUCACCGGUUCUCAGGGCCAGAUUCUUCCUGGCUUUUCAGUGCCUGGGGGCGAAGUAAACUGCUCUCCUCCCCCUAGCGCAGUGUAAUGGCCACACAACACGGCAGCCCUGGGUUUCUGAGGAGCGCAGGGCUGCUCUUGCCCGCGCGCUUGCUGCGCUAGGGGCAGCGAGGGCAGUCCUAGCACAGACAAGGCCACGCAGCGCGGGGAGAGCGCCGGCAGGGACCGCCCCGGCAGGUCACAGCCGCGUCCAUCGGCCGAGGGGUUUCCGAGGGAGGAGGCGGCGCGCGGCAGAUGCUGGGAGGACCAGGGCUGAACAGGGCUUUGCAGCAGAGGGACCGCAGCGGGUCGGAGCUGGCGAACGACACGUUGUUGGCACAGGGUCCCGUCCGCUUGGAGAGCUUUCAGAACAAGGCACGCCUGAGCCAAGUGAAGCGCUCGUACCAAGCGUCUGUGCAGAUGGGUACACAGGCACUUGAGGAAGCUAUUAAGUAAUAGUCUUGGGUAACGCGUGGCCUCCAGAUACUGAGUGACUGAAAGUUUUUUGCAUUGGGACACAAGGUAACCGAGGGACAUUAGCUGAGCUCCCCAGUUACCCAAAGAGACACUUGCACCUUGACCUGCCGCUAGGACAGUGGCUACGCCGUACCGUGGAGCCAUCACUCUCCUGCGCAGGCCUGGGGCCGGGGAGACCAGGGCUGGAGGCUCCCACUCGCCUUUCCCUUGGGAGCCUCCUUCUGGUCACAGGCCCACGACCGCCCUUGAGGGCCUCGCGGGGGCCGCUGCUCCUUGCCCCACCACACUGGGGGGCUCCUCCCUCCCGGCACAGGCGUCCCAGCCCCUGCCCCAGGCGCAGACACAGGCAGCAGGAGGGGCUGCGCGUGCAGCCUCCUGCGGGAUUCAGGCGGGGAGUCCCACGCCACAGCGUGCACCAACCUGCAAGCCCCGAAGCCAGGCAAGAGAGAAAGGGGCUGGGAAAAACCAUCCUCCUUUACGUUUCAACUUGAGCAAAAUUAUGCAUCUGAUCUAAUCCUAAGGAAUGAUCAAAUGGUUUUGGCUGAAGCUUUCCAAACACACAGAAGGUAGGCAUUUAGCACCAACAACUUCAGCUGCACACUUAACAUUUAGCAACAUUAUAAUAAGCAACUAGACAGGUCUUAACAGAUUGCAGGAGAAUUUUAAAUAGACAGCAUUAGGCCUAAUCCGAGUCUUCGCCUUAACCAUCACUCCUCCAACCGAGAACUAAUAGUCAGAAAACACGAACCCCUCCUCCCCCACACACACACACGCUCCAUCCCUUACCAUCUUUUGGUUAUGCUUCAGCAUCUUUAAUUUUUCUAAGACUGCUUUAAUCUCCUGCUUUUCUAUGUCUACACUGCCACAAGACCAGACAAAAUACCCGUAAGGAAGAUCAUUCAGCUAAAGAGCUGCCGAAGCGAAGGGAAGACUCCAGGACAGGGUUUUCCGAUUGCUGGUGGUUUCUGUGAACAGCAGCUCACUCGCCGCGAUUAGUUGCUGAGGAUUGCAAAAAGAAGAGUUUAGUGGCAGGACCGUCACUACAAGCAGAGGGAGUGGCUGAGAAAAAGGCACACCUAUACCUGGGCCCAUCACCAAUGCAACUUUCACCGAGACCAAACCAAAUCAGCUUCCACGGGUCUUCCUUACAAGUCUGUUUGAAAACAUGUCACCUGCAGGCAUGCAGGAUUUCCUUCAGAGGGGCAGGAUGGAGUCAGCUCCUCUCUCCCCAGAAAGAAGGACAACUUUCAAAUGUAUAUUUGAUAAAACUGUAUUUUUGUGGGGUUUUUGUUUGUUUGUUUGCUUGUUUUUACAGACAUUUGUACACUUGGUUACAAAACUGUAAAGAACUACAACUUGUUUUUAAUCAUUUUUUGGUCGGCAAAUAUUGUAAAAUCUGUGUGUGCAAUUAUCAUGUAUUUACAGGGCCUCAUGUUAGUGAUUUUCAAUGAUUAUUCCAAUAAUGUCACACACUCUCAACAUAAGACAUGGCUUAAGAUAAAUAUAUUAGUAAAUAAAUAUUCUGAGAACAUA